rnacentral:rRNA from 1 species
UACGUAGGGGGCAAGCGUUGUCCGGAUUUAUUGGGCGUAAAGAGCGUGUAGGCGGCCAGGUAGGUCAGCUGUGAAAACUCGAGGCUCAACCUCGAGAUGUCGGCUGAAACCAUCUGGCUAGAGUCCGGAAGAGGAGAAUGGAAUUCCCGGUGUAGCGGUGAAGUGCGCAGAUAUCGGGAAGAACACCCGUGGCGAAGGCGGUUCUCUGGGACGGUACUGACGCUGAGACGCGAAAGCGUGGGGAGCGAACAGG